rnacentral:rRNA from 1 species
GGUAAAUCAAGCCAUACAAGGGACUAAUUUGCUAGAGUUACUUAUGAGGGGGUUAUAAUGUACUAGUGGUGUAGAGAUAGAAUUUUUUGAUACCUUUUUCCUAGAGAAGACAUAUGGCACAGAUAUAGGCGAAAGCGUCUCCUUAUGUGAUAACUGACGUUGAGGGACGAAGGCUCUUGGUAGCGAAUAGGAUUAGAUACCCUAGUAGUCGGAGCAGAAAAUGAUGAAUGUCAUAGAUUAGACUAAGUUUAUUCUAUAAAUGAAAGUGUAAGCAUUCCACCUCAAGAGUAAUUUGGCAACAUUGGAACUGAAAUCAUUAGACCGUUUCUGAAACCAGUAGUGAAGUAUGUUGUUUAAUUUGAUAAUCCGCAAAAAACCUUACCAUAACUUCAAUAGCCCGAAUUUUUAAAAUAAUUUGGGUAUCUAUGAUUUAAAUAAAAGCGUUGCACGGCUGUCUUCAGUUAAUGUCGUGAGACUUUGGUUAACUCCAGUAAAUUAACGUAAACCCUUACUUUAUUUUUACAUAAAGUUGUUCCCCACUAU